rnacentral:rRNA from 1 species
GAUGAACGCUGGCGGCGUGCUUAACACAUGCAAGUCGAACGGAAAGGCCAGUGCUUGCACUGGUACUCGAGUGGCGAACGGGUGAGUAACACGUGGGUGAUCUGCCCUGCACUUCGGGAUAAGCCUGGGAAACUGGGUCUAAUACCGGAUAGGACAAUGGUUUGGAUGCCGUUGUGGAAAGUUUUUUCGGUGUGGGAUGAGCUCGCGGCCUAUCAGCUUGUUGGUGGGGUAAUGGCCUACCAAGGCGUCGACGGGUAGCCGGCCUGAGAGGGUGUACGGCCACAUUGGGACUGAGAUACGGCCCAGACUCCUAUGGGAGGCAGCAGUGGGGAAUAUUGCACAAUGGGCGCAAGCCUGAUGCAGCGACGCCGCGUGGGGGAUGACGGCCUUCGGGUUGUAAACUCCUUUCGCUAGGGACGAAGCGUAUUUGUGACGGUACCUGGAGAAGAAGCACCGGCUAACUACGUG